AAGACCUUAAGUUAAAUACAAACUAGCGGCCUUCAAAGCCACAAAUAAGAAAAUAUUCCUUAGGUCUUA
rnacentral:tRNA from 1 species